CCUACGGGCGACAGCAGUGAGGAAUAUUGGUCAAUGGGCGGAAGCCUGAACCAGCCAAGUCGCGUGAGGGAGUAAUGCCCUACGGGUCGUAAACCUCUUUUGCCGGGGAGCAGUGCCAAGCUCGUGAGCCGGGAUGGCGCGUACCCGGAGAAAAAGCAUCGGCUAACUCCGGGUCAGCAGCCGCGGUAAUACGGAGGAUGCGAGCAUUAUCCGGAUUUAUGGGGUUAAAGGGGUGCGUAGGCGGGCCUUCAGGCCGGUGGUAAAAUUUCGGGGCUAAACGCCGACUAGCCGUCGAAACCGGGAGCCUUGAGUACCGUAGAAGUACGCGGAAUGCGUGGUGUAGCGGUGAAAUGCAUAGAUAUCACGCAGAACCCCGAUUGCGAAGGCAGCGUACCGGCCGGUCACUGACGCUGAGGCACGAAAGCGCGGGUAUCGAACAGGAUUAGAUACCCUUGUAGUC
rnacentral:rRNA from 1 species